AUUGCGNAUGGGGGAACCCUGACACAGCGACCCCGCGCGAGUGAUGAAGGCCUUCGGGUUGUANAGCUCUGUCAGGUGGGAAGAAAAUCCCUAGGGCUAAUAUCCAGAGGGAUUGACGGUACCACCAGAGGAAGCACCGGCUAACUCCGUGCCAGCAGCCGCGGUAAUACGGAGGGUGCAAGCGUUGUUCGGAAUUACUGGGCGUAAAGGGGGUGCAGGCGGCCGUGCAAGUCGGAUGUGAAAGCCCUCGGCUUAACCGAGGAAGUGCAUCUGAAACUGCUCGGCUUGAGUAUGGGAGAGGAAGGCGGAAUUCCCGGUGUAGCGGUGACAUGCGUAGAUAUCGGGAGGAACACCAGUGGCGAAGGCGGCCUUCUGGCCUAAUACUGACGCUGAGACCCGAAAGCGUGGGGAGCAAACAGGAUUANAUACCCUGGUAGUCCACGCCGUAAACGUUGGGUACUAGGUGUGGGAGGUUUAAUACCUUCUGUGCCGAAGCUAACGCAUUAAGUACCCCGCCUGGGGGAGUACNGUCGCAAANAUUAAAACUCAAAANAAUUGACGGA
rnacentral:rRNA from 1 species